CGUAUACAUGCAAGUCGAACGAUCCUUGAGUGGCUUGCCAUUCAAGGAGAGUGGCGAACGGGUGAGUAACACGUGAGUAAUCUACCCUCGAGUGGGGAAUAACUCCGCGAAAGCGGGGCUAAUACCGCAUAAUACUCUUGAGCACACGCUUUUAGAGUCAAAGCCCUUCGGGGUGCUUGAGGAUGAGCUUGCGCCAUAUUAGCUUGUUGGUGGGGUAAUGGCCUGCCAAGGUAAUGAUGUGUAGCCGGCCUGAGAGGGUGUACGGCCACACUGGAACUGCGACACGGUCCAGACUCCUACGGGAGGCAGCAGUAGGGAAUUUUGCGCAAUGGGCGAAAGCCUGACGCAGCGACGCCGCGUGGAGGAUGACGGCCUUCGGGUUGUAAACUCCUGUCAGAGGUGAAGAAAGUCCCCUCGGGGACCUGACGGUAACCUCAGAGGAAGCCCCGGCUAACUACGUGCCAGCAGCCGCGGUAAUACGUAGGGGGCAAACGUUGCUCGGAAUUACUGGGCGUAA
rnacentral:rRNA from 1 species